rnacentral:rRNA from 1 species
CAAGGGGGAAGCGGCAGACGGGAGAGUAAUACGUGGGAACGUACCCUUUAGUUCGGAACAACCCAGGGAAACUUGGGCUAAUACCGGAUACGUCCGAAAGGAGAAAGAUUUAUCGCUGAAGGAUCGGCCCACGUCUGAUUAGCUAGUUGGUGAGGUAACGGCUCACCAAGGCGACGAUCAGUAGCUGGUCUGAGAGGAUGAUCAGUCACACUGGGACUGAGACACGGCCCAGACACCUACGGGUGGCAGCAGUCGAGAAUUUUUCUCAAUGGGGGAAACCCUGAAGGAGCGACGCCGCGUGGAGGAUGAAGGUCUUCGGGUUGUAAACUCCUGUCAUUUGGGAACAAGUGCCGGUACGUAACUGCUACCGGCUUGAUAGUACCAGAAGAGGAAGAGACGGCUAACUCUGUGCCAGCAGCCGCGGUAAUACAGAGGUCUCAAGCGUUGUUCGGAUUCAUUGGGCGUAAAGGGUGUGUAGGUGGCGCCGUAAGUCGGGUGUGAAAUUUUAGAGCUUAACUCUGAAACUGCAUUCGAUACUGCGGUGCUUGAGGACUGGAGAGGAGACUGGAAUUUACGGUGUAGCAGUGAAAUGCGUAGAUAUCGUAAGGAAGACCAGUGGCGAAGGCGGGUCUCUGGACAGUUCCUGACACUGAGACACGAAGGCCAGGGGAGCAAACGGGAUUAGAUACCCCGGUAGUCCUGGCAGUAAACGGUGCACGUUUGGUGUGGGAGGAUUCGACCCCUUCUGCGCCGGAGUUAACACGUUAAACGUGCCGCCUGGGGAGUACGGUCGCAAGAUUAAAACUCAAAGAAAUUGACGGGGGCCCGCACAAGCGGUGGAGUAUGUGGCUCAAUUCGAUGCAACGCGAAGAACCUUACCAGGCCUUGACAUGCAUCUCUAAGCUGGUGAAAGCCAGUGAGUCCCGAAAGGGACAAUUUGCACAGGUGCUGCAUGGCUGUCGUCAGCUCGUGUCGUGAGAUGUUGGGUUAAGUCCCGCAACGAGCGCAACCCUUGUGAACUGUUGCCACCGAGCCGAGAGGCUCGGGCACUCUGUUCAGACUGCCUCGCUUAAACGAGGAGGAAGGUGAGGACGACGUCAAGUCAGUAUGGCCCUUACGGCCUGGGCUGCACACGUACUACAAUGCCCAGUACAGAACGAUCCAAGACCGCGAGGUGGAGGAAAUCACCAAAACUGGGCCCAGUUCAGAUUGAAGUCUGCAACUCGACUUCAUGAAGCCGGAAUCGCUAGUAAUGGCGCAUCAGCUACGGCGCCGUGAAUACGUUCCCGGGCCUUGUACACAC